rnacentral:lncRNA from 1 species
UUUUUUUUUCUUUUCAUUCAUUCCCUGAAUCGCAACCUUUACAAUUCUUCUCUAUACUAGGAUCAUAUUUAUUAUAUGACUUAUUUAGCCUGAGUAGAUAUGAGUAUAUAUAUACAAUUCAUUCUUUCAAGCAUAUCCCCUUUUUAGUAAUCUCCAAUUACCGAAUAAUUCAAAAAUUUAUACAUCUGUGAUUUACACAUGAAAAUACCAUCAAAUGAUUCGACACAAUCUCAAUUAAAUCACUAGUCUUCUAUUUAUGCGCUGCUAAUCACGAUAGAUCGCAUCAUAGAUUUAACCUGCAAAUUAAGCAAGAUUGAGCACGACGGCCCAACAAGUCUAACAGUCUAUCAUGCAUCACGUAGCACAUAGGUUUCACAUUCAACAUAGGUUUCACAUUCAGUUCAUGCAUUUAUAUUCUUGGUGUUCAAGCAUAUUACAAAUGCAUUAUCACAUUUAUGUCCUGCUGGUAGCAACUUACAUACCAUAGCAUACUACACAUGUCAUGUACAUGUCAUUCAUUGCACAUAUAUAUUGAGUUCCCCGACUCAAUUCAAUAAUUAGUCAUAAUUUGACAUUCAUCGUUCACAAAGCAAAUAAUGCAUUUCAUAAGUAUUACAUACUUAUAAACAUAAAUCAUGCUAACAGUUAUCUAUAACAAUUAUAAGUCCACAUAAAUAAACUGAGAAACUUGCAUUGUUCGUAGAUUAUUGGUACAAUUUCAACUUAACCUGUGUAUUCUCACCGAUCCUACACAAUUAUUUGCAUUUACAAGCAUAUUAGCCAAAUAACCAAGUCAUAUAGCUUAUAUGUUCACAUAUCACAUAAUCACAGUGAUCAUGUUUUUAGUUCAUGUUCUAUAUUUAAGAUACAUUUUUUAAAUAUCUCAUCCAUAUUCUUAUAAUAACCUUUUCUUUCUUUCAUAGGGUUUGACAUAAUUUUUGUUCAUAAACUUUCCAUGAUUUUAGUUCAUACUCCUUUUAUUUCUUUUGUUUGCCGUAAAUAUACUUUGUAAUCCUCUUUAUAACUUAGGUAUUCAAGGUGAAUAGCUAAGGUAUUUCAUGAUUGUAUAUCAAAAUGGUAGAACUUUUAGUUUCUAAUUUGCUUUGCAAAUCAUAUUGUCAAACGAUUCGCUUAAUCGUAUUGCAUUUCUUAGUUACGUCAAAACAGCCUUCUUUGACCAAAAAAUAUAUGCAGCCUUUAUUGAUGCUAUAAUAAGUUUCUUGCAUAAUUUCAUUUGACUUUAGCAGCCUCUUAUCAUUACACUAUGAUGAGGCUAAAUUUUCCUUGCUAUUCUUUUGUUUUCCCCCUAUUUAACUAAGUGAGCCUAAUAACUCACUUAACUAAACAAACAGUUUCUUAACAAAGUUUGUUUUAAAUUAGCAGCUCUUUAUUGCCAACUUCUACUGCUGUCAUUAUUGUUCAAGGUUAGCAGUCCUGUUCUCCCCUAUUCAACUUCCCUUUUGUAACUUUAUAACUUAUGCUAUGCAAACUUGCUUCAGCCCAAGUUUUAGCAUAAUUGUUUUAUAUUUUAGCCAUCUAUUAAUACGAAUGUUAGGCUUCUUAACUCAAAAUUUUCAAGCUACCUAAACUACUAGCAACUGCUGCUAUUUGCCACUGCUGGUUAUGAGCAGCAGUUUCCCCCCCUUCCAUGCUUAACAUUUCAGUCAUCAUCUCUUCUUUUAUCAAUAUAUAGAUACACAAUACAAAACAGUGUUCAAACAUAGCCGGUUGCAUUAAUUUUUUUUUUUUUUAACAUAUUAUCUGCAGGCUCUGCAACACAGCACAGCGCUGGGCGCUGGCUGCUGCUGCCAGCAGCAGCACCGACUAGCCCAAACCUCCUCUUCCUGUACAAAUUUAUCUCUCUUUUUUUUAUGUUCUAGACAUUACCGACCUGUUAAUAUUAGUUGGGCAAACUUGAGGGUCCAACUGUGCUAAAUAUAAACUCAAGAGAAUACUAACUCAAACAACCAUUGCUGCUACUGAAGCAGCAGCUUUGACACUAGGCUUCCACUAAUUAUUUUUUAAAAAAACUUUGUAGCAUAGAUAAGUUUACACCAACUCUAGGUAUAAUAUACAGAGUAUAUGGAAGUAUUUUGAGCUUAUUGAACCCCUCCAUGUCAGCUUUAUAUACUGCCCAAAACAGAGUGUUCAAAUGACUUGACAUACUAAGUCUAACUUUUCAUUGUUAAUUAAAAAUUGAGCUUUGUUCUAGCUUGACACACUCAAACCCUCUAAUUAGCAUCACAUAUGAUUAAUAAAUCAAGCCCAAGCUCUAAUUCUACCAAAGUUCUGAUUUUAGAUAAAAAUAGUUCAUUGGAGCAUUCUAACAAACACCUUACGUACACAGUUUUAAAACACUCUUUUCAUAGCUAUUGGUUUGUUUUAAAAACCCAGUUUAGCUCCCUUAUUGCUCCAUACAACCCAGCCUAUUCUUCUUUGUUCUAUUCCAGUCCAUAGCAGUUGGUUUCACAGUUAAACCAAACAUAUUGACUGAGAGCAAUAACUAAAUACCUACUAGCAUUCCUCUAAUUUAAAAGUUUGAUAUUAACAAACAGUGAGUUCAAUAACCCAUUCUUUGUCAUGAAAGUUAAACUUACCAAUUUAUUCAAUCGUUUAACCCAACAUCACAGAUAUAUAUCUCAUAUAGAUUUUCAUCAACCAAAACUAAAUCAUCAAUUCACAUAGGCCUAAUUUCUUGACAUAAAAAGAUAAUAAUACCUGGAUACUUAGAUAACUUCUGUGGUAUUACUUCCUUUAGCUUCCAAUUUCGAUCCUCACUUCUUAAUUUUAUUUUACUGGAGCAAAGCUUGGAGUUGUGUGAUAUAGGGAGAAAGAAAGACGCUGAGCUGAAUAUGAGAAGGAAAGAGUAGAAGAAAACUGAGCUUUUUAGCUUGAUUACCCCCCUAGCUUAGCUUGGUGUUAUGCCUAUUAAGAUAAUGGCAUGACACGUCCUACAUACCUUAAUGUCGACUCUGCUCUUGGUUUAAGGUAAUACCCCAGCUCAUGCUUCUAAUGUCUCAGCUCAAAUACUAAGCCCUGUUUGUUUAAUACAUUCCUUCAAUAAAUUAUUAAAGCCUACAACUUUAUUAACAUAAUUCCAUAGUACCAAAUUCAUUAUAUUAUAACUAAUAUUUUGUACUACAAUUUCCUUACAAUAAAAUAACUUAAACUAAUAAAUUAUUU